CCCGCUGAACUUAAGCAUAUCAAUAAGCGGAGGAAAAGAAACUAACAAGGAUUCCCCUAGUAACUGCGAGUGAAGCGGGAUGAGCUCAAAUUUGGAAUCUGGCGUGCCUCUGGCCGUCCGAGUUGUAGUCUGGAGAAGCGUUUUCCGCGUUGGACCGUGUACAAGUCCCUUGGAACAGGGCGUCAUAGAGGGUGAGAAUCCCGUCUUUGACACGGACAACCGAUGCUCUGUGAUGCGCUCUCAACGAGUCGAGUUGUUUGGGAAUGCAGCUCAAAAUGGGUGGUAAAUUCCAUCUAAAGCUAAAUAUAGGCGAGAGACCGAUAGCGAACAAGUACCGUGAGGGAAAGAUGAAAAGCACUUUGGAAAGAGAGUUAAACAGUACGUGAAAUUGCUGAAAGGGAAACGCUUGAAGUCAGUCGCGUCUGCCAGGACUCAGCCUCGCUUCUGCUUGGUGUACUUUCUGGUUGGAUGGGCCAACAUCAAUUUUGACCGUUGGAAAAAGGCUUGGGGAAUGUGGCACCUUCGGGUGUGUUAUAGCCCUCUGUCGCAUGCAACGGUUGGGAUUGAGGACCGCAGCACGCCUUUAUGGCCGGGGUUUUUGCCCACGUACGUGCUUAGGAUGUUGGCGUAAUGGCUUUAAGCGACCCGUCUUGAAACACGG
rnacentral:rRNA from 1 species